rfam:Ovis aries breed Texel chromosome 4, whole genome shotgun sequence.
UCCCUGGGGGCUCAGAGGGUAAAGCGUCUGCCUGGAAUGCAGGAGACCCAGGUUCGAUCCCUGGGUUGGGAA